CCUAUGGGGUGCACCAGGCGAGAAAACUUUGCAAUGUGCGAAAGCACGACAAGGUUAAUCCGAGUGAUUUCUGCUAAAGAGAUCUUUUGUUAGUGCCUAGAAACACUAACGAANGAAGGGGUGGGCAAGUAC
rnacentral:rRNA from 1 species